UACCUCGAUGUUGAAUUAAGGAAAAAUUUAAUAGAAAAAGAUUAAAAAGUUGGUCUGUUCGACCAAUAAAACCUUACAUGAUUUGAGUUAAGACCGGCGUAAGCCAGGUUGGUUUCUAUCCUAAAUAUAUUUUUUUUUAUAGUACGAAAGGACCUAAAAAAUUAAUUUUAUU
rnacentral:rRNA from 1 species